AUAUUGUUUUCAAAGAUAUUCUACGGUCUUCAAAAUGAAGUGACACCGGAGUCCAUCAUAAAUGGGAUAUGAGUUGGAAAUUAAAUUCUGGCGACAUGGUGUGAAGAUUCUGCAUCAUUAAAUUUUUAUAAUAUGUAUGUUAGAUGUGGCAUUCAUAUGUGGAUUUUCUG